AGAGUUUGAUCAUGGCUCAGGACGAACGCUGGCGGCGUGCUUAACACAUGCAAGUCGAACGGAAAGGCCCCUUCGGGGGUACUCGAGUGGCGAACGGGUGAGUAACACGUGGGUGAUCUGCCCUGCACUUUGGGAUAAGCCUGGGAAACUGGGUCUAAUACGGAAUAGGACCGCAUGCUUCAUGGUGUGUGGUGGAAAGCUUUUGCGGUGUGGGAUGGGCCCGCGGCCUAUCAGCUUGUUGGUGGGGUAAUGGCCUACCAAGGCGACGACGGGUAGCCGGCCUGAGAGGGUGUCCGGCCACACUGGGACUGAGAUACGGCCCAGACUCCUACGGGAGGCAGCAGUGGGGAAUUUUGGACAAUGGGCGAAAGCCUGAUCCAGCCAUGCCGCGUGAGUGAAGAAGGCCUUCGGGUUGUAAAGCUCUUUCGGCGGGGAAGAAAUCGCAUUCUCUAAUACAGGAUGUGGAUGACGGUACCCGAAUAAGAAGCACCGGCUAACUACGUGCCAGCAGCCGCGGUAAUACGUAGGGUGCGAGCGUUAAUCGGAAUUACUGGGCGUAAAGCGUGCGCAGGCGGUUUCGUAAGACAGACGUGAAAUCCCCGGGCUCAACCUGGGAACUGCGUUUGUGACUGCGAGGCUAGAGUUUGGCAGAGGGGGGUGGAAUUCCACGUGUAGCAGUGAAAUGCGUAGAGAUGUGGAGGAACACCGAUGGCGAAGGCAGCCCCCUGGGCCAAUACUGACGCUCAUGCACGAAAGCGUGGGGAGCAAACAGGAUUAGAUACCCUGGUAGUCCAA
rnacentral:rRNA from 1 species